rnacentral:rRNA from 1 species
GACGAACGCUGGCGGCGUGCUUAACACAUGCAAGUCGAACGGAAAGGCCCUGCUUUUGUGGGGUGCUCGAGUGGCGAACGGGUGAGUAACACGUGAGUAACCUGCCCUUGACUUUGGGAUAACUUCAGGAAACUGGGGCUAAUACCGGAUAGGAGCUCCUGCUGCAUGGUGGGGGUUGGAAAGUUUCGGCGGUUGGGGAUGGACUCGCGGCUUAUCAGCUUGUUGGUGGGGUAGUGGCUUACCAAGGCUUUGACGGGUAGCCGGCCUGAGAGGGUGACCGGCCACAUUGGGACUGAGAUACGGCCCAGACUCCUACGGGAGGCAGCAGUGGGGAAUAUUGCACAAUGGGCGGAAGCCUGAUGCAGCAACGCCGCGCGCGGGAUGACGGCCUUCGGGUUGUAAACCGCUUUCGCCUGUGACGAAGCGUGAGUGACGGUAAUGGGUAAAGAAGCACCGGCUAACUACGU